UUACAUUCGAGCAUAUUUAAGAUGAGCAGAGUCAGACGUUAGUUUUCUCUCCACUCGCUUCAGGUGAAGCAGUUCAGAAACUUAUGGCCACCGGCUGCUGUUUGCCCCAGGAAAGAGCUUAAAAGCAGAACAACCUCUUCCCCAAAUAACGACCAUAUGUAAAGCACUGCGCAGCAGAUCCGUCCUGCAAACUGCUUAGCGCUCUCAGGGGUGCAGUAAGUUGUGCCAGCGUGUUUCCGCUGCGCAACCCGGAAAACAAACUUUCCCAACUGCUUACGGGCUAUAUUUAUAUAUUUUUUUAAAGGAAGCUUUUCUGCCAUCUUCAGUUGAAAUCUAAGCUACAAGUUGAAGAUCAGCCCCCAGCCAACAGCACAUCUUCUCGAAACAAAUGAUUGUUUUCCUCACUCGACAAAGCAAUAAUGAGGUAACAGAAUCAUUAAGAAGUCCACUAAGAUCGUCCAGUCCAACCAUCAACUAUCAUGCCCACUCACCAUGUCUCUCUGUAAGUAACUCAUGGGUGCAAGCUUAGGGCAUUGUGCAGGCAACAGUGGAUGCAGCUGAAUUACAAUUUCCAUGAAUAAAAGGAAGAAGUAUAGGAAGCCAGUAAUGAUUUUCUUCCUAUGGAGGCCACCAUCUACACUUCUUUUGGUCUCAUUUUAAUAAUCUAUAUCAGUGUUGUUUUUUAGCUGAUUUUAAUGUCAACUAGGGAUUAAUGUGCAUUAAUUAAAUUGACUGUAUUUUCUUUAAUGAGCACAAAAGGAUUUUAUGUUAAUACUGAUGAUCCUAAUAAGGAUUCUGUCUACUUAUCUGUAUUUUCUCAACAUCCUGAAAUAUUUUAUUAGGAAACAAAUUAAUUCAGUUACUAUCACGGGGUAAAAACAGAAGCUAUCAGGUGACUGCCAACUGGGUCUGGCGUUAGCAAGCUAUGUGACAAUUAAGCUGUAAGAACUGCAUUUAGCUGCAGAACUGCUCAUUGCAAUGUAUUAUUUUGAACAAUUUAAGCCUUUUUUUUUUUAAUUUCUUGUUUGGCACUGGCUGACUCUUACCUGGAUUUGAAGCCACCAUUGAAUGAGUAUGUGAGUAAUAAUAAAAGAGAUGCUGUCAGUGAGACCUGGGCUAAGGUCUAUGCCCAUUCCUUGUUAUCAAGCAGGAGACGCAAAGGAUGAGCUGGGAGCAGAUGCUGCGGUGAUCCCUGUAGGUAGACAGGUAGCUACACAUGACCCUCUUUCAUCUGUGCAGAUUGACAAUGCAAAUUAGUUUCUAAAUCGUUAAAAACCUUACAAUAUAAUAACGCUUUUCCAUAACAAAUGAAAGAAAUACAUUUAUUUGCAUGCGUUAAUAUAUCUGUGUCAAUAUAUUUUUAUACAUUCACAGCUGUUGCGGGCUUGAAAGACACUUGACUUGCUGAGCAAGCAUUUAAUAAAAAGCCCAUGGAAAUGUUAAUUAAUGGUAUUUGGUACUAAAUGCUCACUUUGAUGCUAAAAUGUUAUGCUGCACAGAUUUAAAAUUCAUGCUGCGUUUUUUGCCCUUGUUACCAUCUGCAAAUUUCUACCCCACACCCCAUUCUCACAUCAGGUUGCUGAAAUAAUUCAAUAGUAUUAUAGCAUAUGUCAGUAAGAAACAGUAGGGACAGAUUCUGAUCUCAGCCCUCUUGUUUAACUUUGUUGCUCUCAAUUGCAUUGUUUUUGCCAGGUUUUCUUAUUUAUCCUGGUUUUGUUGACUAUCCUGCUCAAAACACCCUCAGAUCUGUACAGAUACGUAGGAAGAGAAAACAUGUCUCAAAAAUAAUUUCCCAUCCAGAAUUCCAGCAGCUGUCAGCUCCUAAAUAAGAGCAGUUCCAGUAAUUUCAGAAUCAAUGUUUUGCUGCAAAAAGUUGCUUCGAUGUAAUAUAGCUUCCAAGUGGAAAUGUGAGAAACCUGAUGGCUGCUCUGUGCUGGGUUCUGAAGGUCUUAGGGCUUAAAGCCCACCCCAAGCAUGGUGUGAAGGGGCUGUGAAUCCCACUCAAGGUAAUUCUCUUUUCCUGAGCCCUGUGGUGUGGGGAGAGUCAACCAAGACACUGAUAGAAUUUCUUAGAGCUGAAAAAUCAUGAGAUCUUUAGAAAUAAAUGCUUUGAAGAAAAAGUGGUUUACUGUUCAAGGGCUUUGGUUUUAAAUCAUGUAUAAGUAAUUGCUGACAUGAUAACAGAACUACCUGAGCUUUCAUUAACAUUUAUCCUCAAUUGGACCAAGUUUCCCUGCAAAGGAUUUUAUGAUAACAAUUAAAUUUAGUAAAAAUAAUUCAUUUGGCUAAAACGUUUCCAAAGGGACCAAUUUUCCACUGAAACAGAAACAAAAAAUUUCUACUACCUCACAAGAAAUCUACAAGAAAUCCAAUUUUUUUGUGUGCUUGUGAUUGUUACUGGACUGUUUGAGUAUGAAUCUGUUUAGGCUUUCAUUUCUUUGUGCUGGCUCUUUAUGUUUAGUUCAAGCUUUGAACUGAAUGUUUAUGUUGGGUCUUAACAACAUUUCUGUUUACCUUGUGCCUUUCUUGACGACUUAACCUUUUCCAACAGUAACUGUAAAUUAUACAAUCAAAUAACAGUAUUAAUUAAAGAUAUUAGUAGAUGACCUAUAAUUGGUAUAAAAUGAUUACAUGAGUUAUUGUCAGUUUUGACAAUCUGGAGUUGAAACUCCAUUUGUAACAGCUCAUGCCAGUAUUCCUUGGUGUGGUUGCAGUGUAUGUUACGGUGAAAUAUCCCACCAUCAUUCUAACAGUGUGUACCUCUGGCAUAAACAUUAAUUCUGUGCAGUACAUCUAAGCAAAUAAUCUCUGAAAAGCAGACAAGAAACCAGAUCCUGGGCAUACAGUUCUAAGGAACAUCAAACAAGAAAAAUACAACCAAGUUCUUCCGCCAUGGAGCAGAUCCCCACAAAAUCCAGCUGCAGAGCAGGGCCAUGGCUUAUCUCUCCAUGCCUUCACCAUUGGAGUGUUCCCAGAGUGGUUCAUGAAAACCCAUAACAUGGUACAUUGCAUUGGAAACUUGGCUUGCUCAGUUCCCAGUGACCAACUCUGAACUCUCCUUUCUGGAAACGUGGUGAAAACUUCCUAACAAAAAGGAAAAAAGGAGUCUUCUAACUUCAGGCUGUGUCUCCUUUCCCUCAUCCAUGAACAAGAGAUGCAUUCACUCCACAAUCUGAGGGUUUUCUUAAAAGGCAAUUGGCCACCACUAGUUCCCAUCAGCUGCUCACCUUGAAAUGGUGGCAGUCUCUGACAUCAGUCAGCUGUUGCCACAGGAAAGAUUAAGUCAUCUUAUUUGCAAGUGCCGUCAGUUAAAGACAUCAGAGGAAAAAUAAAAGCCUAUGGUUAAAGAAUGUUAAGAGAGAGAAACAGAGACAGGCCAUUGCUAUGUGAAUUAAUGAACUGCUGGCAAUAAUUACAAUUAUAGUUGACAGUCGUGCUGCAGUGUUCUACGUACUAAUAAUGACACCAUAGACAACAUAUCAGAAGAAGAAUUAAAUCCUUCAGAAAGGAGAACAACCGCCGGGAAUGUCAUUGUUUUUUAAUUGCCUGAUUACCAAAUGUUGGAGAUAAAAGAUAGAUGUUCUCAAUUAAUAACAUUUACAUAGAUUAGCAUCACUAACAAGCCUCAUUAGUAGCUGCUGACUUUUGUUUAGACUGCAUCCCAUGUCAGUUGUGCUCUGAUAGUGUAGUGGAAGAAGAAAAAAGUGGGAAAAUCCUCUUGGACUGGUGGAUCUGAGCGAGGAAUGACUGCCAUGAAUGUGUUUUGUAAGAAUCCUUGUGCAAACCACUAACAGGAGAAUUCAAGUCAAAUUUUGACUAUUGUUUCUUGCAGAGCCCUUCAUACUGGGAAAUGAAUCCAAAACUUUUAUACUCUUCUUAAAACAGAAUCACAUUAAUACAUGGAGCAGGUGGAUUUUUACAUCUGAUCUGUGCCUGUUUUAUCUAUACACAUAUUUUUCUCUCAAACUUUGACCUGCAAGAAAACAAGUUGGAAGAAUGAAUUUUGAUACCUGCAUCCUGGCACUGACACAAUAAUCAUCCAAUAUGUUUGUAUUUGAGAAUAAAGCAAAAUGUUUUUUUGUUUGUUUUGUUUAUUUUUGUUCCACAAAGAAGUAGCAGAAGUCUUAAAGAGGCAGGUCCAUUUCCAUUUGUCUCCUUCAUAAAUGCCAUUAACUAACUGCCUCCCCUUUCAUUAGAUCUCUAUUCUUUGUCCUCAAAUACGAGUGGAAUGAGAUUCUGAUAUUGUCACUGAACUUGAUGAGCACCUGACUCCAUUAGUCAUUCCCUUGAACUCAAUGGUCUAGAUUCUCAAAUGGUAUAAAUCAGCAUAACCCAUUUCUAUAAUCUAAAAACCUAACCUGAGAAAAUUAUUUGUGGAAUAAGGUCAAACAUGAUGACAGUAAGGGAAUCUGGAUCAUGAUAUUAAAUGU